rnacentral:rRNA from 1 species
AUUGAACGCUGGCGGCAGGCCUAACACAUGCAAGUCGAGCGAGCGGCGGACGGGUGAGUAAUGUAUGGGGACUGCCCGAUCGAGGGGGAUAACUACUGGAAACGGUAGCUAAUACCGCAUACUAUCGGAUAAUCCAUAUGGGAUCAGCUAGUUGGUGAGGUAAUGGCUCACCAAGGCGACGAUCCCUAGCUGGUCUGAGAGGAUGAUCAGCCACACUGGAACGUGGACACGUCCCAGAUUCCUACGGGGGCAGCAGUGGGGAAUAUUGCACAAUGGGCGCAGUCCUGAUGCAGCCAUGCCGCGUGUAUGAAGAAGGCCCUAGGGUUGUAAAGUACUUUCAGUCAGGAGGCGUUGCCGACAGAAGAAGCACCGGCUAACUCCGUGCCAGCAGCCGCGGUAAUAC